rnacentral:rRNA from 1 species
AGAGUUUGAUCCUGGCUCAGGAUGAACCUUGGCGGCGUGCUUAACACAUGCAGGUCGAACGGAGCGCCGGACACGGACUAUUUCGGUAGGAAGCGUGCGGAGGCUUAGUGGCGGACGGGUGAGUAACGCGUGGAUAACCUGCCGCAUACCGGGGGAUAACAGCUGGAAACAGCUGCUAAUACCGCAUAUGCCCGCAGUGCCGCAUGGCACAGCGGGGAAAACUCCGGUGGUAUGCGAUGGGUCCGCGUCUGAUUAGGCAGUUGGCGGGGUAACGGCCCACCAAACCGACGAUCAGUAGCCGGCCUGAGAGGGCGGACGGCCACACUGGGACUGAGACACGGCCCACACUCCUGCGGGAGGCAGCAGUGGGGAAUAUUGCGCAGUGGGGGGAAACCCCUGAUGCAGCGACGCCGCGUGAAGGAAGAAGUAUCUCGGUAUGUAAACUUCUAUCAGCAGGGAAGAAAACAGACGGUACCUGAUUAAGAAGCCCCGGCUAACUACGUGCCACCAGCCGCGGUAAUAGGUAGGGGGCAAGCUUUAUCCGGAUUUACUGGGUGUAAAGGGGGCGCAGACGGCCAUGGCAAGCCCGGUGUGAAAGGCAGGGGCAUAACCCCUGGACUGCACUGGGAACUGUCAGGCUGGAGUGCCGGAGGGGUAAGCGGAAUUCCUGGUGUAGCGGUGAAAUGCGUAGAUAUCAGGAGGACACACCGGCGGCGAAGGCGGCUUACUGGACGGCAACUGACGUUGAGGCCCGAAAGCGUGGGGAGCGAACAGGAUUAGAUACCCUGGUAGUCCACGCCGUAAACG